GCGCAACAGCUCUGCAGCUUGGUUUGUGGCAUCUAAGAUCUCAGAGUGGAAGGCGCAUCUUAGGUUGUAUGGCGCCUGCAGAAUGCAAUGACUAGUUUUAUAUGCAAAUUAAGGAUUAGGAGGCCUGGACAUUUGAGCGACUGAAAACAUGUAGAGAUAAGAUUCUGCAAAGCUUGUGAUCCCAUGCUGCAUGGUAUCAGAUUCCACAUGGCCUGCCCGCGUAUGGAACGAUGUUGGAAUUAGAGGUUGCAUGGAGUGGUGCUGUUAGUGAUCCUAACAUAUGGAUUAAUGAUGGAUCACGAAAUCUUCGUUGGGCCAACUGUCUAUAGACACGUCAGAUAAAGAUUUACACAGAAGGGCGGGCCUGGUGCAGCGGUAGAGCCUCACCGCCUGUGACCGAGAGGUCCCAGGUUCGAGUCGCGGUCUCCUCACAUUGCACUUCGUGAGGGUAAGGCUUGCCACUAACACCUUCCCCAGACCCCGCACAGUGCGGGAGCUCUCAGCACUGGGUACGUCCCUUUACAGAUUUACACAAUGAUAUAUAUACCUAUAAUUUAUGGAUGACAUUGUCUUCUUCUGAUCUGCAAGGUGAUACUUUUACUACCAUUACAAUAACUCUACAUUAGUGUAAAUACGGUAUGAAAUGAUUUUCGAUGAUUCUCCAAUGUGUAUACUUAUACAUAAUUGUCUGCUCAAAAUCGUAAAUAUUUGACCAGAGGAGUUUAAACCUCAAGAUAGAAUAACAGAGGGUGUACAUGAUGUUGCAUCUUCACAGAGACAUUUACACAAUAUCCAAGUUUUAUUUUGGUCAUCAGAUGGUCCUUACUAAAAUGCAAGAAAGUCUGGAGGUGUAUAAUGCAGUAUCAUGUUUUCCUAGUUGGAUGGAAAGCGUGGACAAUAGCAAGUGAAUAACAUCAGGCGUUUGCUGAGGAACUUUAACUAGGAUACACGAGGCCGCUCAGCCACAAGGAAAAAGAAGUUAGAUCCUGAUUAUGGUUGCUGAGUUCAGCAGCUGGCUGUGCUGGAAGAAUUAGGCAUCUCACAAUGGGAAAUCUUGGCAUAUUCACAACUUGUUCAUGAGCAAUUCUUCUUAGAUAUAUGUGUAUAAGGUUACAGAAAGCAUAUGGGUCAACUUGUGGAGUCGAUGGCAGCUGGAAGGUUCCUCAGAAAUUGCUUGUCCUACUUCUCACUGUAAAUUAUUGGAAGACCGUAUUAUUAUUAAGAGUGAAAGCAUUAUUCCUCCAGCAUCGACAUUAGGAGCAUGUGCUCUGCUAUGGAGAAACAAAGAACAAGCGGGGUAUGAGAAACGUGAAGGCUUUGUGAGGACCCACUUUAUCUUGUCCUGUGGCAUGCAAGAGGGAGUGGACACAACCGAAGUUCCAUAUGAAAAUAUACGUGGUUCCUGUUCAGGUAGGAUUAUUCAGUGUGACUAUUUUUGCUUAUCUUGUUAAGUUUGAGCAUUUUGGGCCAGCAAUGUGUGGCUUAUCGUUUGUCAAGCCGAGUAAGCUUCUACAAAAUGCAAAAUGUUCCCAUUUCCAAAUCAAGCAGAAUUUUGUGGACCGCUUGCUUGAUGCUAGACAUCUGAAAUCAUUUGUUCGCAACUGCAUAUAGUGGCCUAUGGUCGUGGGCCUGGUCACGAAGAAUAUGAAACUUAGUAGGUUUUCUUCAGAUUAUCACCGUUGGUGUCAAAAAGUAUGUAACAUACUGAGACAUUGACGUGGAAC